UACAUAAGUUGCUGUGCUUUCUCUACGGCUUGUGUCAAGUCUUCCAGCUUUCAUUUGCAGGGCUUCAGGAAUACAGCGGUUCUCAUUUCAAUGAUUCCAAGGCAGAAGAGUGGGAGAAAAAUAUUAGUUUGGAGACCUGUAGCCAGACAUUUCUGGAAACGAGAAAAAUUCAGGAUCCAGUCCAGAUUGUAGGUUGGGAUUUCCAGUUCCUUGAUGAAGAGAAGUUACGAGACUGGGCAUCCUUGCUUUGUUCCUAAACAGGAGGUGAAAACAUUCAGUCUUCUGCCAUUAGUUUGGUGAAAUAAGGGCUGUGAUGGCAGCAAAUCUGAAAACAUGUUUGGGGCAGAGAUUUCUGGAUGCAUCUUUAAAGCUGGCUUGAGAGAAAUCCCACGCACAGGGGCCAACCAGAGGCGAAAGAGUGUGUGUCCUGGAGAGCGUGGUAAGCAGCUCAGAACUGGGCAGGCAGACAGAAUCCCAAGGUGGCGAAGGGCAUUUUGUCUGGUCCCUUAAAGUCAGGCUCUUAUCUCUCCUAUCCCAGCCUAAUAGCUACAAUUAGUCUGUGAUGCAUGCUGAAAAGAGGGUGCGUGUAAAAUCCAGGCUGUUUU